UGGGGAAUAUUGCACAAUGGGCGCAAGCCUGAUGCAGCCAUGCCGCGUGUGUGAAGAAGGCCUUCGGGUUGUAAAGCACUUUCAGCGGGGAGGAAGGCGAUAAGGUUAAUAACCUCAUCGAUUGACGUUACCCGCAGAAGAAGCACCGGCUAACUCCGUGCCAGCAGCCGCGGUAAUACGGAGGGUGCAAGCGUUAAUCGGAAUUACUGGGCGUAAAGCGCACGCAGGCGGUCUGUCAAGUCGGAUGUGAAAUCCCCGGGCUCAACCUGGGAACUGCAUUCGAAACUGGCAGGCUAGAGUCUUGUAGAGGGGGGUAGAAUUCCAGGUGUAGCGGUGAAAUACGUAGAGAUCUGGAGGAAUACCGGUGGCGAAGGCGGCCCCCUGGACAAAGACUGACGCUCAGGUGCGAAAGCGUGGGGAGCAAACAGG
rnacentral:rRNA from 1 species